UCCUUGCUGGCUCAUAGGUUAAAGCAUCUGCCUGCAGUGCAGGAGGUCUGGGUUCGAUCCCUGGGUCAGGAA
rnacentral:tRNA from 1 species